rnacentral:rRNA from 1 species
UACGUAGGGGGCAAGCGUUGUCCGGAAUCAUUGGGCGUAAAGCGCGCGUAGGCGGUCCGGUAAGUCCGCUGUGAAAGUCCAGGGCUCAACCCUGGAAAGCCGGUGGAUACUGUCGGGCUAGAGUCCGGAAGAGGAGAGUGGAAUUCCUGGUGUAGCGGUGAAAUGCGCAGAUAUCAGGAAGAACACCCGUGGCGAAGGCGGUUCUCUGGGACGGUACUGACGCUGAGACGCGAAAGCGUGGGGAGCGAACAGG